UCCCUUGACCAACUCUAUGGGAGAUUAGGUUAACCCAAGUCCAUGUACACCCAUGACUCGACCUAAUCUCACCUAUCCUGAGCCCAGACCUGGCCCAUAAAGAGUUGGUCCCUUGAGGCCCACAUAACCUAGACCUCAAGAACCCAAAAGGCCCACAGCCUUUCAACCUAGGGCCCAACUAGCCCUAGAGCCUCCAUGAAGCCCUCAUGAAUGAUGGACCUUGGCCUUAGCCUUGGU
rnacentral:lncRNA from 1 species